rnacentral:rRNA from 1 species
GACGUAGGGCGCGAGCGUUGUCCGGAUUUAUUGGGCGUAAAGCGUGCGUAGGCGGCUGCGCAAGUCGGUUGUGAAACCCCGGGGCUCAACCCCGGAACUGCAUCCGAUACUGCGUGGCUAGAGGUAGGUAGGGGAGAUCGGAAUUCCUGGUGUAGCGGUGAAAUGCGCAGAUAUCAGGAGGAACACCGGUGGCGAAGGCGGAUCUCUGGGAAUAUCCUGACGCUGAGGAGCGAAAGUGUGGGGAGCGAACAGG